UACAGAGGGGGCAAGCGUUAUUCGGAAUUAUUGGGCGUAAAGGGCGCGUAGGCGGCUUCGCAAGUGACGGGUGAAAUCCCUCGGCUUAACCGAGGAACUGCCUGUCAAACCGCGUGGCUAGAGUCCGGAAGAGGAGAAUGGAAUUCCUGGUGUAGCGGUGAAAUGCGCAGAUAUCGGGAAGAACACCCGUGGCGAAGGCGGUUCUCUGGGACGGUACUGACGCUGAGACGCGAAAGCGUGGGGAGCGAACAGG
rnacentral:rRNA from 1 species